AAUUUGACGCCACUCAGCCUGAGAUACUGAGAAGCAUAUGUCCCAACUUGAAGCCAAAACAGAGACCUGGAGAGGCUGCACGUGUUAGUUCCCUGCCAGGGUAUAGGGCCCAGAUGUGGGCCAAAGGAAGACCUGCUACCAACCCCUGAUUCAUUCAAGAAUGAUAUCUCAUCGUAUGGAUUUUUGUUCACCCAUUUAUCUACUGAUGGAAAUUUGUAUUGCUUCCACUGUGGGCUCUAAUGAACAAUGCUGCCAUGAACAUUUGUGUACAUACCUGCACUUCCUCAUGGAUAAAGCACUUCCAUUGGCUAAAUCGGGUGAGCAGGGCUUUAGUUGUGGGCCAAACGAGAUCUUGGGAUAACAACAGACCCCCCUGGUCCCCACGAAAAUCUGAGGAUGCCGUGAACAUAAUGUCUCCGGCCUCUUCUCAUUUCAGAAGUUCCAAACAAGAACUUUCCUGUGCAGAGGCCGCGGAAGCCACACCAGUUUUCUGUUUUUGGUAUUAAAUUUAGACCUUUCAUCCUGACCAUGAGAUAUUUCUGGAUUCUGCACGAGUAUUCAGCAAAUGCCAGUUUUCAAGAUGCUAUCCCAUCUGGGGUACUCUGCACACUGCCCGCUUUAUCUGGUUUUUUUUUUUAACUGAGAAAAAUGACCCAGACGCAGGAGCAAAUUCGGAAGUGGGUUAUUCUGUUAUCCAUUAAUUGUCAUUUAAUGCCUGAGCCAUCUAGGUUACUUGGAGAUGAAAGAAACUAAAUUUAACCGGAAACCUGAAUUUGGUUUUGCAGAUAGC